UACAGAGGGUGCAAGCGUUAAUCGGAAUUACUGGGCGUAAAGCGUGCGUAGACGGUCAUGUAAGUCGGGUGUGAAAGCCCCGGGCUCAACCUGGGAAUUGCAUUCGAGACUGCAUGGCUAGGAUGCGGAAGAGGGAAGCGGAAUUUCCGGUGUAGCGGUGAAAUGCGUAGAUAUCGGAAGGAACACCAGUGGCGAAAGCGGCUUCCUGGUCCAGCAUCGACGUUCCGGCACGAAAGCGUGGGGAGCAAACAGG
rnacentral:rRNA from 1 species